rnacentral:rRNA from 1 species
UGAUGCUCUGGUGAUGGUGACCUAGGCCAAAAAAUGUAUCACUAGCACAUGCUCAAGCCCAGCAUGUGCAUCGUGACCCAUAAUCAAACUUGAACUAAGGCCUCGACCAUCAAUGGCAUAUGUUGGUGCAUGGUGUGGGCACAUGCUAGUGCAUGGUACGGGCACAUGCCUCUACCAUCAUUGGCACGUGUUGAUGCAUGGUUCAGGUACAUGUCUCGACCAUCAUUGGCAUAAGCUGGUCUUUGGUAUAGGCACUUGCCUCAACCACCAUCAACAUAAGCUAGCCUUUGGUAUAAGCAUUUACCUCGACCACUAUUAAGCACAUGUUGGCCCUUAGUGUGGGCACCUAUCUUAAUCAGCAUCAGUCAAAGAUGGCCUUUGGUGCAAGUAAUUACUUCAAACACCAUUGGCACAUGCUAGCCCUUUCUAUGAGCACUUGUCUCAAACACCAUUAGCACAUCCUUGGCCUUGUUGUGGGCAUAUUCCUCAACCACUAUUGACACCUAUGAACUCUUAGUGUAGGAUAUGACUAUUUGAAAAUAGUGUCCCUAUUUUAGACACUUUAAUGUUUACUACUAGUAUAUAUGUAAAAACUUUCAUGCUCUUCAAAGGAUGGUUCUCAUCCCUAUUGAAAAAUCUAGGUUAUGUAUGCCUUUUGGUCAUGCUGUUUGGUGACUUAUUGCUUUAGUGACCUGUAGGCACCUAUGGCCUCGAUAGGCUAGCAUGCACACAGAAAUGUGUCUUGGCUAUAUUGAGCUCAAGCCUGUGCCUAUGGCUGAUGCUACCCCAAAACCUAGAGAAAGUCCCUGAAUAAGGUAGUAGCUUUUUAGGAUGGUGCAAGCAGAAGCUAUGGUCAUAGGCUAGGUUUUGCUAAGUAUUUUAGGUAUUUGGCUGUCUCAUGGUCUUUUUCAACCACUGAAAGGGAGUGAGCUUGGACAAAUCGACCAUCACUACAAAUCUUAGUGGAAGUAGUAAUUAUUCAAAUGAAAACUUCAAAGGUUGAAGUAGGGAAAGGUUUCAUGUGAACAACACUUGCACAUGGGUUAGUCAAUCCUAAGAAAUGAGGGAAGCCUGUUUGAUAGUGUGUCUAGCGUAAGCUUUAAAAAGUAAUCAGGUUAAAAUUCCUAAACCAAGAUUCAAUGACUAACAGCAAGAUUAAGGAGUCUGAGACAUUAGGGGGCUUUAGAAAGAGUUAUCUUUUCUAUUUAACAGCCUCCCUAACCUUAAAAAAGCUCAUUUGAAAGUAGGGUCUAGUGGCUAGAAGAGCACUGUAUGUCACAUGGUGUCCAAUAUGCCCCUGAUGGCCUUUGAAAAUUUAGAGGAUCAAAUGUUGUCCAUGCCCAUCAUAUUGAUAACCACAUAUGGUCUCCAAGGUGAAUAGCCUCUAGUCGAUAGAAUAAUAUAGGUAAGAGAAGUUAGCAAAAUGGAUCCAUAACCUCGAGAAAAAGAUUGGCUUUGAGGGUUGGGCAUAGGGGUCUUGGUCUCAAACUUGUCAAUUGUCUAUGCACUGCUCAAGCCACUCACAUAGUGAAAGUAGGUCACCGCAUGCCAGUUUAAGGAUGAACUAGGAAUGGCUCCCUUAGGGGCUUUCCCCAGGUAAUGAACAAUUAACUAAACAUUAGUAUGGACAAGGGCAACUACUAUUUAAUUAAAACAAACCAUAGUGAUGGUCUUUGCAGAUACUCAUGCAAUGUGAUUUUUGCCCAAUGCUCUAAAUGUCAAUGUGAAAAAAUUCAACCAAGCAUUGGUAAAUAGUAGGAGUAACUAUGACUCUCUUAAGGUAGCCAAAUGCCUCAUCAUCUUCCUAACAUGCAUGAUUGGAUUAACGAGAUUCUCACUGUCCCUAUCUACUAUCCAGUAAAGCCAUAGCCAAGGGAACGGGCCCAACAAAAUUAGCAAGGAAAGAAGACCUAGAUUAGCUUAACUCUAGUUGGACUUUGUGAAAUGACUUUAGAGGUGUAGGAUGAUAGGAACCUUUAGACAAAAUUGAAAUACCGUUACUUUUAAUGUUAUUUUACUUAUUCAAUAAAUUAAAGGCAGGGCAUGAUCCCUUCUUUUGGCCCAAGGCCAACCUUAGUCAAUCAAUCUGGGUGGAAAACAUUUUUAGGUGAGGAGUUUGGCUGUGGUAGCACAUCUGUUAAAAGAUAACACAGGUGUCCUAAAAUGAUCUCAAUGAGAACAAAAAUCUCGUGUCAAACAAAAAGGGUAAAAGCUCAUUUGAUUUUGAGUUCUAAUAUGAAUACAAACCAUGAAAGAAUGGCCUAUCAAUCCUUUAGACCUUUAAAAUUUAAAGCUAGAGAUGUCAGAAAAGUUAUCACAAGAAUAACUGGCUUAUGGCAACCAAGCAUCCGUAGUGACAUUGCUUUUUGAUCUUUCGAUGUUGGCUCUUCCUAUCAUUUUGAAAUAGAAUUCACUAAGUGUUAAAUUGUUCACCCACCAAUAGGGAUUGUGAGUUGGUUUUGGAUCAUCAUGAGAUAGGUUAGUCUUACACUACUGAUGGUAGCAUCGCAAUAGUAAUUCAACCUAGUAUGAGAGGAAUCAUUGAUUUGCACAAUUGGUUAUCAUGCUUGGUUAAAAAGCCAACGGCAUGAAGCUACCAUAUGCUAGAUUAUGACUAAACACCUCUAAGUCAUAAUCUAAGCUAAAAGUGAUGCACACAUCCAUCGCCUUAUUGUCAACCCAUAGUAGAGGCCCAUGGCCCCCCAAAGGCAUGUGUCAUAGAUGUAGCCCUCAUGGUAGACAAGCUACGUAGGCAUCCCUUGAAGCUUAAUUUCCACUGAG